GGCCCCGUAGCUGGAGGGUUUUAGCGUGCGGCUCAUAACCGCUUGAUGUGGGUUCGAUUCCCACCGGGGCCA
rnacentral:tRNA from 1 species